GCGGGCGUAGUUCAGUGGUAGAACACUAGCCUUCCAAGCUAGUUACGUGAGUUCGAUUCUCACCGCCCGCU
rnacentral:tRNA from 1 species